GGAGCCAUAGCUCAGUGGCAGAGCAUUUGCUUUGCAUGUAGACGGUCCCAGGCUUAAUCACUGGAUCUCCA